rnacentral:rRNA from 1 species
UAGGAUUCCCUUAGUAGCGGCGAGCGAACAGGGAUAAGCCCAGCACUGAAUCCCGCGGCCGAAACCGGACGCCGGGAAAUGUGGUGUUAGGGAGGGUCCGUUAUCUCGAGAAUGUGCGGUGCGUCCAAGUCCAUCUUGAACGGGGCCACAGCCCAUAGAGGGUGCCAGGCCCGUAGUGACCGCUGCCAUUCGCGAGAGGAUCUCUCCUCAGAGUCGGGUUGCUUGAGAGUGCAGCCCUAAGUGGGUGGUAAACUCCAUCUAAGGCUAAAUAUGACCACGAGACCGAUAGCGAACAAGUACCGUGAGGGAAAGUUGAAAAGAACUUUGAAGAGAGAGUUCAAUAGUACGUGAAACCGUUCAGGGGUAAACCUGAGAAACCCGAAAGGUCGAAAGGGGAGAUUCAGCGUGUCUCGAUAAUGGCGCUGAACGGUCGUGCGACGGAUGGCGUACGCGUUGUCCGCACCUUCCGUUCUCCGAACUAUUGUCGAACGCGUGCACUUCUCCCCCGGUAGGACGUCGUGAUCCGUUGAGUGUCGGUCUAAGGCCCACGGUGGAGUCCGUUUACUUUAUCGUGAACGAACCCGUGGUGUUUCCCGAUCGGCUCGCUCGACGGUAUAUAUAUGGCGCGGGGCCGCUACAUAGUUAGCGUUCGACGUGUGGCAAGCUCGUUUGUCGUAAUGGUGAUCGGACCUAGUGCCGGUCCUAUUCCCAAAUGGCUGUUCGCUACAUAGUUCUCGAACAGACCUCGUUGAAACGCCGAUCUACGACGCUAUAGCUUUGGGUACUUUCAGGACCCGUCUUGAAACACGGACCAAGGAGUCUAGCAUGUGCGCAAGUCAUUGGGACAUGACUAAACCUAAAGGCGCAAUGAAAGUAAAGGUUCGUCUUGCACGGACCAAGGGAGGAUGGGCAAUUGUUUCGGCUAUUGCCUCGCACUCCCGGGGCGUCUCAUUCUUAUUGCAAGAAGAGGCGCACCAAGAGCGUACACGCUGGGACCCGAAAGAUGGUGAACUAUGCCUGGUCAGGACGAAGUCAGGGGAAACCCUGAUGGAGGUCCGUAGCGAUUCUGACGUGCAAAUCGAUCGUCGGAACUGGGUAUAGGGGCGAAAGACUAAUCGAACCAUCUAGUAGCUGGUUCCCUCCGAAGUUUCCCUCAGGAUAGCUGGCGCUCAUUGCGCACGAGUUUCAUCCGGUAAAGCGAAUGAUUAGAGGCAUUGGGGUCGAAACGGCCUCAACCUAUUCUCAAACUUUAAAUGGGUGAGAUCUCCGGCUUGCUCGAACUAUUGAAGCCGUGAGACUCGAAUCAGAGUGCCAAGUGGGCCAUUUUUG